rnacentral:lncRNA from 1 species
AUGGGACCCCAAUGGGCCUGUAGAAACCAAUGGGACCCAAUCGGAACCAGAACCCAACCAGAACCGACCCAUAAUGGACCCCUAAUAGAACCCAAUGGACCCCAAUGGACCCCAAUAGACCCCAAUGGACUCCAAAGGACCACUAAUAGGAUCCAAUGGGACCCCAAUGGGCCUGUAGAACCCAAUGGGAACCAAUCGGAACCAGAACCAGAACCGACCCAUAAUGGACCCCUAAUAGAACCCAAUGGACCCCAAUGGGACCCAAUGGACCCCAAUGGACCCCAAUGGGCUACAAUGGACCCAAAGGGACCCCAAAUGGACCCAAAGGGACCCCACUGUGACCGCAAAUGGACCCAAAGGGACCCAAAGGGACCCCACUGUGACCCCAAAUGGACCCAAAGGACCCCAAAGAGACCCCAAAUGGACCCAAAGGACCCCACAGUGACCCCAAAUGGACCCAAAUGGACCCAAAGGGACCCUAAGGGACCCCAAAUGACCCCAAAUGGACCCAAAUGGACCCAAAGGACCCCACUGU